rnacentral:rRNA from 1 species
GAUGAACGCUGGCGGCGUGCCUAAUACAUGCAGGUCGAGCGAACGGACGAGAAGCUUGCUUCUCUGAUGUUAGCGGCGGACGGGUGAGUAACACGUGGAUAACCUACCUAUAAGACUGGGAUAACUUCGGGAAACCGGAGCUAAUACCGGAUAAUAUUUUGAACCGCAUGGUUCAAAAGUGAAAGACGGUCUUGCUGUCACUUAUAGAUGGAUCCGCGCUGCAUUAGCUAGUUGGUAAGGUAACGGCUUACCAAGGCAACGAUGCAUAGCCGACCUGAGAGGGUGAUCGGCCACACUGGAACUGAGACACGGUCCAGACUCCUACGGGAGGCAGCAGUAGGGAAUCUUCCGCAAUGGGCGAAAGCCUGACGGAGCAACGCCGCGUGAGUGAUGAAGGUCUUCGGAUCGUAAAACUCUGUUAUUAGGGAAGAACAUAUGUGUAAGUAACUGUGCACAUCUUGACGGUACUUAAUCAGAAAGCCACGGCUAACUACGUG